AAACCUGAACUUGCUACAUCUGUGCUGUUUUUCAGCUGGGCUCUUUCUUCUUCUGUACUUCCAGGCAACUACUGCUCUUCGCUUCUUCAUGAAGGCAUCCUGGAAACAUCCAUUUACAAACACAGAAUUUAAAUCAUCCAAAUGUAAUGUUUUUCAAGUCUCCUGUAUCUAAAACUUUAGAGAUGUUCAAAACCCAUCUGUGGACCACCAGGAAAAAUAACGAUGCCUGCUAGAGUGGAUUCUGUCAAGCUAAACUGAAGCAUCAAAAAAAGAUGGAUGUGCAAAAACAUGAAUGAAGACUUAAGACACAUUUUAAUGUGGACUUGUGUAGAAUAGAAUGUAAUAGACUCAAGACCUGUUGAUUUGCAGCUACAGUGCUGGUUCUACAGCCAUGUGCUGUAGGAUCUUCCAGACUGGUUUCCCUUAAGUUGAUGGAUUCUUGCCAGCUUGUGUAUUGCAAAUUCCUACACCAUAUGGAAGUUGCUUCACCAUUUCAGCCAGUGGAAUUUUGUUUUGGAUGCCUGGGUUUCCUUUGCUUUUCUUAGAUUGUAUAGUUCCUGCUCAUCUGCAGUUGAAUUGAGUGGGAUAGAUAUUUGUUUGUCAACAGGAGCUUCAAAUGAACUUCUGAACUUUUUCCUCUCUUGUUACUCAGCUCAGUUUUUUGGUGCAAUUACAUUGCUACAGUGUAACCAAGAUGUUUGCAUAAUGUUAGAUGGAAAAUGGGAAUUAAACUAUAUA